AUGAACGCUGGCGGCGUGCCUAAUACAUGCAAGUCGAGCGAACGGACGAGAAGCUUGCUUCUCUGAUGUUAGCGGCGGACGGGUGAGUAACACGUGGAUAACCUACCUAUAAGACUGGGAUAACUUCGGGAAACCGGAGCUAAUACCGGAUGAUAUUUUGAACCGCAUGGUUCAAAAGUGAAAGACGGUCUUGCUGUCACUUAUAGAUGGAUCCGCGCUGCAUUAGCUAGUUGGUAAGGUAACGGCUUACCAGGCAACGAUGCAUAGCCGACCUGAGAGGGUGAUCGGCCACACUGGAACUGAGACACGGUCCAGACUCCUACGGGAGGCAGCAGUAGGGAAUCUUCCGCAAUGGGCGAAAGCCUGACGGAGCAACGCCGCGUGAGUGAUGAAGGUCUUCGGAUCGUAAAACUCUGUUAUUAGGGAAGAACAUAUGUGUAAGUAACUGUGCACAUCUUGACGGUACCUAAUCAGAAAGCCACGGCUAACUACGUG
rnacentral:rRNA from 1 species